CGUAGGGUGCGAGCGUUGUCCGGAAUUAUUGGGCGUAAAGAGCUUGUAGGCGGUUUGUCGCGUCUGCCGUGAAAAUCCGGGGCUCAACCCCGGACUCGCGGUGGGUACGGGCAGACUAGAGUGUGGUAGGGGAGACUGGAAUUCCUGGUGUAGCGGUGAAAUGCGCAGAUAUCAGGAGGAACACCGAUGGCGAAGGCAGGUCUCUGGGCCACUACUGACGCUGAGAAGCGAAAGCGUGGGGAGCGAACAGGAUUAGAUACCCUGGUAGUCCACGCCGUAAACGUUGGGAACUAGGUGUGGGUCUCAUUCCACGAGAUCUGUGCCGCAGCUAACGCAUUAAGUUCCCCGCCUGGGGAGUACGGCCGCAAGGCUA
rnacentral:rRNA from 1 species